UAAGUUCAUAAUGAAAAAGAGAAAUUCUUUUUUAUGUGUAUGUGUUUUUUUAAUCCUCAAACAUUGAAAUACAUUAGGUUCAGCAGAGACUAACUGUGAAUAACAAAAACGAACCCCUAAUUUCACAAAGCACGUCAGAUCUCCAGGGGUGCUCCUCUUUCCAGAUACACAGGAAAUCCUAGUAGGCCAACUCUUCCACUAUCAAAUGACUGACUCAAAAGCUUCUUGACAGAUGGAAUUCCAGCCAACUGCAGAAUUGAAAUCACUAGACACAGGCUGACCUGAGGCCCCACUAUUCUACAUACCAGGCUGACUCUGAGAGCCAUGAGACCAACUGAACUGCAGGAGCUUCAGCGUCUGUGCUGCCCUGUAUAGUCCCGGUCCUCACCAACCGCUGGAGAAGCAAGGAGUGUUCCUGGGCAGUGGAAUGUGGCGCUGGGGAUGCGCUCCCUGUCUCCUGCUCUUCCUGAUGAGCACCUUGCACAGUGUGGAAUGUGAAAGAUCCUCUACAAAUGCUUGUUGAUGAUGGAGAGAAGUAGCCUGGAAUAGAGGUGGAGCAGUGUCGUACCCUGCUUCACUGGCGCCCCCAGAGCCUUGGUCGCCUCCGUCCUGCUCCACUAGCUUCUCAUGUUAGGAAAAGCUCUUAUGAGGACUGAUGGCCAAGAUUUCUUGUUCUCUUCCUCUUUGUCCUUUCUUCCUUGCUGUAGAUUCUGAGUAGAUCAGUUAAGAUCUUCAGAUCUAUAGAGUUGGCAGACAGAAUCUCAAAUUUCAAAGGACAUCUAUGACAUCGAUAAUCCCUUCUAGUUCCAAGCAGGCUAGGAUCUAAGCUGUUUCAGCAAAGCUCUUGUUCUCAAAAUCCCCAGGCAAUCUUGAACAUCUUGCAGAGAUAUGAAGUUAUUUCUCAUGUCUAAGCUAAAUCUCUUUGGCUGCAACUCAAGUCUGUUCCCUUUAUCACAGCCCUAAGUAGAUAUAGGGACUAGGGCUUUCUUUGCUGAAAACCAUGUCCACACCAUAUAACUGAUUUUUUAAAACGUAUUUACCAGCCUAUCUUCUUUACAAAUUAAGGACGUGGUGUUGUGUUUUAUAUCUGGUCUCAGUUUUAAAGUAAAUGGUUAUCUGUAGUACUGACUAUAAUAAGGCAAGUCCUUUAAAUUUUCAAACACUGGGGAAGUACAGAGAAAUUUUGUCACAUUUGCUUUAAAUAUUUUAAAUAUUAAGAUAUUAUGGGUAUAGUUGAUGCUGCCUUUGUACCAUUGUCUCUUCUCUCUCUAGAAGGGUAAGGACUAUCUUGAAACAAAGUGCAUAUUCUUCCUGCCCAGUUUAAAAAUCAUAUAUGUGUAUAUAUCAUGUGCAUAUAUCAUAUGCACAUAUCAUACAUAUGUGUGUAUAUAUAGGGAUAUAUAGCAGUCAUUUCCUCAUUACUUAUCUUCCAAUUUAUCACUUCUCUAUUGACUGUGUCCAGCAUAGAAUUUAUUCUACUUAAUGCAUUUAU